GACAACGUCCAUACCAUGUUGAAAACACCGGUUCUUGUCCGAUCACAGAAGUUAAGAAACAUCGGGAAAUGUUAGUAUUUAGAUGGGUGACCGCUUGGGAACGUUGGCAUCUUUU
rnacentral:rRNA from 1 species